rnacentral:rRNA from 1 species
AUUGAACGCUGGCGGCAGGCCUAACACAUGCAAGUCGAGCGGAUGACGGGAGCUUGCUCCUUGAUUCAGCGGCGGACGGGUGAGUAAUGCCUAGGAAUCUGCCUGGUAGUGGGGGACAACGUUUCGAAAGGAACGCUAAUACCGCAUACGUCCUACGGGAGAAAGCAGGGGACCUUCGGGCCUUGCGCUAUCAGAUGAGCCUAGGUCGGAUUAGCUAGUAGGUGAGGUAAUGGCUCACCUAGGCGACGAUCCGUAACUGGUCUGAGAGGAUGAUCGGUCACACUGGAACUGGGAAACGGUCCAGACUCCUACGGGAGGCAGCAGUGGGGAAUAUUGGACAAUGGGCGAAAGCCUGAUCCAGCCAUGCCGCGUGUGUGAAGAAGGUCUUCGGAUUGUAAAGCACUUUAAGUUGGGAGGAAGGGCAGUAAGUUAAUACCUUGCUGUUUUGACGUUACCGACAGAAUAAGCACCGGCUAACUCUGUGCCAGCAGCCGCCGCGG